GAACUUUUAAAUAUAAACCUUGCCACCUAAAUUAUCCAUAAUUGGUUAGUAAAGAUGCCUACAGCCUGGGCUGGGCAGAAGAAAGGCAGGCAGGGCUUCAGUUCCCAGGCUUGGGGUCUGAGGCAGAGGACACAGCGAGGAGGAGAAGAGAAGAAGGAAGAAGUCGCCAUGGGGUGACCAGAUGUCAUCCAUCUUCUUCCAAUGAAGAAAAUAGGCCCAUGUGAUUGACAAUCCUGGUUUCUCUGAUGUGUAUUCUGAGCUGUCCCUCUUACACUCUACCACUGAGCUAUAUUACCAGGAAGCGACUGUUGACCGCCCAUGCACAAAGGUGGAAAGUGACCAGACCAAGGCUGCUCUGAACUGUAUGUGGUGAAGUACAUGCCAAGGUGGGUCAGCCAGCCCCAGAUUUGGACCAGAAUGAGGAUGUAGGGAUACAGAAGCUGGAAGCAGGGGACAGGAAGGACUGUGGAUGCCACCAGAUGUCCUGGAGACAGAACGGACACCACAUACAUCACAGUGUGGUUGAGCUCUACUGUGUAGCACUGGUACUUUCUGUUCCCUCUCUCACCAUGGCGCCAUCUUGGCCCCCACCUUCUCAGCGGGGUCAGUACUUAGGGGUUUCAUCUCCUGUAAGUUUUGCAUUAGGCAUAUGAGCCACCUUGAGCUCUUCCCAUUCUAUCUGCUCUGAAACAAGGUAGACGUUC
rnacentral:lncRNA from 1 species